UACGGAGGAUGCGAGCGUUAUCCGGAUUUAUUGGGUUUAAAGGGUGCGUAGGCGGGAUGCCAAGUCAGCGGUAAAAAUGCGGUGCUCAACGCCGUCGAGCCGUUGAAACUGGCGUUCUUGAGUGGGCGAGAAGUAUGCGGAAUGCGUGGUGUAGCGGUGAAAUGCAUAGAUAUCACGCAGAACUCCGAUUGCGAAGGCAGCAUACCGGCGCCCUACUGACGCUGAGGCGCGAAAGCGUGGGUAUCAAACAGG
rnacentral:rRNA from 1 species